rnacentral:lncRNA from 1 species
CUGUUUGUGAUGAUUACUCAGCGAUAUGCGAUUAAAAGCUUCAAAUUUGCAGAAACCCAUCUUCUUCAGCUCCUACUCUGCCCAUGAUAUUCUCAGAGCGUCUUUCAUUGAGAAGUUUCUGGUCUCCAGAAUCCUUUUUGUGCACUUAAGAUUCCUUCUUGGUGUUUGGAGAAAGUUAAGUGAACAUCCCAGUGCAGUGACUUCAACAUGUUCUCAACUUCUCUUAUCACAUUUGAUUCGUCACGAACUAUUAGUUUACCUCCUGGUCUUACUAUUCUAUCCACUUCUGCCAUUACUGGAACAAGAUUGCACCUUUCAAAACAAAACAAAACAAGAGACUUAUUGUUGAUGAAACGUUACCAAAAGGUGUGGAUAUUAUGAGUUACGCUUAUACCUUGUUCUCAACUUUGAGAAAAGAUGAUCUGCAUGUAAGAGAUCAUAGCUUCGAGGUGUUCAUAAUCUGUAGUGAAAUCUCGAGGAGCUGGUUUCCCAUAUAUCCCCAUUUGAGAGCUGUUUAACCAGUAAGGCGGUGUUUGAAGCCGACGGGGCCAAUUCACGGGCCACUUGCUUCCUCUCUCGACCACAUUGGUUUCUGGUAGAUUGCAGCACCAAUACCAUUGAGUUUAUCCUUGUUGAUUGUCACAAGUUCCCAGCACAAGGAUUUUGUCAACGCGGACAUUUCUACAUCACUCAAAACAUCUCAGGUUCAGUGAAACAAACAAAAGAAGGAGGAACUCUAGUUAAGUUCAAGCAUUUUACUUUAGUCAUUACCUUUCCAGAUUUGAACAUCUUCUUCAAGCUUCUGGUAGACUGGUGUUGCUGACCAGACAAAAUAACCUCCAGGCCUAAGCAUCCGAUUAAGUUCCAGAAGAAGCAUACCACCCUCAUUAUGCCAUGGGACUCUACAACGUGCACAGUGGAUAAGAUCAAACACUCUGCUCGGGAAUGGCAGUCGCUUAGAGCCCAUAACUGCUGAGAUGGCUGGAAUCUUUCUUUCAAGAGCAAACUGGACUUGAGCCUCGUGUUCAUCUUUUGGUGCAAGAGACAUUGCUAUAACAUCUCUUUCAAAGAGGAAACCGCCAAAGCUCGCCACUCCACAUCCAACAUCCAAUAUGACCCGAGUACGUUUACCCCACGCAAUGUUUUUCAAAGACUGCCAUAGUAGAAAAAAGGAACCAUUAUAUUCUGCAUAAAAUUUCUAUCUUUUACUUGUUGCAGUUUUAACACUAUACUGAAAUCAAGAAAUGAGUGUUCACCUGCUGAAGAAAAUCGAUAUAAUGAAGAGCUCCAUGGAUGAACUGUGUUCCACCACCAGGAAACGUCAAGAACUCGCCAGUGACCUUCACCCAGUUCUGAUGUCCUUUUACCUCAGCUAGCUUUGUGUGUGGGACAUUGUGGUACCAUAUCUACUAGAUCACAUGCCACUUGAUGGCCUCCUUAUAACCUUCUGGGAGGGGGACGAGACACGUUGACUUUACGGCAUCGUCUGGAAGCUUUCCCGGAUUGUCUUCAAAUGCCUGUUGCUCAUCAGACUCUUGUUUCGUGGGUUCGGGCUCAUCAUUACCGUUUGAAGAGGCAGACACAUCACUCCUCUCUGUCUCUGCGACAGCCGCUCGAGUGGAGCCUUGUGUGAUCUGCGGUGGAAUAACGGAAUUGGAAGAAAGCAUCCACACCCCGAAGACACACAGAGCCACAAAGAUGACCAUUGUAAUGGUCGACGCAUAGGACGACGUCGAAGUGCGUUUGUUGCCACGUCCCCUCCCGAAGGCCAUCUUUACGGUCUUGCGUAUAGUACUAGUUAUGGAGAAAGAAGAAGAAGAAAAAUGAAGGAGUAAAAUGGGAGUUGAAGGAAGUAAAAAUAGAAGAAAAAGAAGAGAAAGAGAGGUUGUGAAGAGACAAGACUGGAUCAAAGAUCCUAUAGAGUCGGAUAUGGGACUUUCAAUUUCGUGUCUCUAAAUUUAGUUAUGGUCUCUGUGUUUCAUAUUUUGUUGUCCAUGAAAAAUUAGUGCCAUGUAAUCCAAUGUUAACUUGUAACGCCUAGUCAAGGAUAUAUUAAACAUGGCAAGCUUGUGCUUUUUUGGUAUAAUGUAUUCGAAGACUGUUUAAUUUGAAUUUUGAUUGAUUAAGUAUGUUGAUUUCAAUUUGAGUGUAUUUUUUGGUUGUUAUGGUAUUAUUUAUAAAAACAU